rnacentral:tRNA from 1 species
GGAAGAGUGGCCGAGCGGUUUAAGGCACUGGUCUUGAAAACCAGCGAUAGGCAACUAUCCGUGGUUCGAAUCCCACCUCUUCCGCCA